rnacentral:rRNA from 1 species
GGUUUGAUUCUGGUCAGAUUGAACGCUGGCGGAUGCUUUACACAUGCAAGUCGAACGGCAGCACGGACUUCGGUCUGGUGGCGAGUGGCGAACGGGUGAGUAAUGUAUCGGAACGUGCCUAGUAGCGGGGGAUAAUCACGCGAAAGCGUAGCUAAUACCGCAUACGCCCUUCGGGAAAGCGGGGACCUCGGGCCUCGCACUAGAGCGGCCGAUAUCAAUAUUGCUGGUGGGGUAACGGCUCACCAAGGCGACGAUCCGUAGCUGGUUUGAGAGGACGACCAGCCACACUGGGACUGGACGACGCCCAGACUCCGAUGGAGGCAGUGGGGAAUUCGACAAUGGGGGAAACCCUGAUCCAGCCAUCCUGCGUGUGCGAUGAAGGCCUUUGGGUUGUAAAGCACUUUGGCAGGAAAGAAACGGCACGGGAUAAUACCCCGUGCAACUGACGGUACCUGCAGAAUAAGCACCGGCUAACUACGCCAGCAGCCAUAAGGUGUAGGGUGCAAGCGCGUUAAUCGGAAUGACGGCGUAAAGGCAGCAGGCGGUUCGGAAAGAAAGAUGUGAAAUCCCAGAGCUUAACUUUGGAACUGCAUUUUUAACUACCGAGCUUGUGAGUGUGUCAGAGGGAGGUGGAAUUCCGCGUGUAGCAGUGAAUGCGUAGAUAUGCGGAGGAACACCGAUGGCGAAGGCAGCCUCCUGGGGAUAACACUGACGCUCAUGCACGAAAGCGUGGGGAGCAAACAGGAUUAGAUACCCUGGUAGUCCACGCCCUAAACGAUGUCAAAUUAGCUGUUGGGGCCUCGGGCCUUGGUAGCGCAGCUAACGCGUGAAGUUGACCGCCUGGGGAGUACGGUCGCAAGAUUAAAACUUCCCAAAGGAAUUGACGGGGACCCGCACAAGCGGUGGAUGAUGUGAUUAAUUGAUGCACGCGAAAAACUCCACUACCCUUGAUAUGUCUGGAAUCCCGAAGAGAUUUGGGGAGUGCUCGCAAGAGAACCGGAACACAGGUGCUGCAUGGCUGUCGUCACCGUGUCGUGAGAUGUUGGGUUAAGUCCCGCAACGAGCGCAACCCUUGUCAUUAGUUGCUAUGAAAGGGUACCUAUGAGAUCGCUGUGACAAACCGGAGGAAGGUGGGGAUGACGUGUCAAGUCCUCAUGGCCCUUAUGGGUAGGGCUCCACACGUCAUACAAUGGUCGGGACAGAGGGUCGCCAACCCGCGAGGGGGAGCCAAUCCCAGAAACCCGAUCGUAGUCCGAUCGCAGUCUGCAACUCGACUGCGUGAAGUCGGAAUCGCUAGUAAUCGCGGAUCAGCAUGUCGCGGUGAAUACGUUCCCGGUCUCUGUACACACCGCCCGUCACACCAUGGGAGUGGGUUUUGACGAGAAGUAGUUAGCCUAACCGUAAGGAGGGCGAUUACCACGGUAGGAUUCAUGACUGGGGUGAAGUCGUAACAAGGUAG